UACGAAGGGAGCUAGCGUUGUUCGGAAUUACUGGGCGUAAAGCGCGCGCAGGCGGUUUUCCAAGUCAGUGGUGAAAGCCCGGAGCUCAACUCCGGAACUGCCAUUGAAACUGUUAAACUUGAGGACGAGAGAGGUGAGUGGAAUUCCCAGUGUAGAGGUGAAAUUCGUAGAUAUUGGGAAGAACACCGGUGGCGAAGGCGGCUCACUGGCUCGUUUCUGACGCUCAGGCGCGACAGCGUGGGGAUCAAACAGG
rnacentral:rRNA from 1 species